rnacentral:lncRNA from 1 species
AAAAGACUUUCAAAAUCUAAUUUGCUCACAUACAUGAACACCUGCCAGGAAGGAAUUUGAGGCCUUUGGUCUAAACAUGGAAAAGCUGAGUUCAUUUGCCCCAGAGGGGGCACCUGCAGGGAAAAGGAAAAAUGGUUUUAACCCUUUCCUUGAGUCAGAAAAUGAGGCCACCAGAUUCUCCUUUCAUCCUUCAAGUAUCAGAAAGGUCUGUGCUGUGAAUUCCACAGAUGAGAUUCAUUGCAAGAUGUGAGGGCAGAGGAAAUCCAUGGAAAUGAAAUCCACAUUCAAACUGGAUGCAUGCGUUCAGCAACUGGAAGCUGAGUUCAUAUUUCAUUGCCCAACUACCCUGACCACUUGGGAAUCGCAGGUUUGGAAGGACCCACAGCCAUUCUGUGGAAAUGGAUCUGCUUUCAGGACCGAAUCUCAGACUUCUUGGGGAAGGCUUCAGUGGCUGCCUUUGCUGUACAGACCUGGAGAUGGGUCUGAUGAUCGGACACCUGAAUUAUCUGUGUGGCUGAGUUUCAAGAAGACCUGCUGGGGUGAAAUGAAAAUGGUGCCUACUGGAAGCCCCAGUGGCUUUGCUGGUGGAGGUGAGCAUAGAUCCUAGAACUAUAUCCUGAUGUUUGGGCUCCCAUGUAUAUGUGAAAUUCAUUCUUUUUUUUAUAGGGUGGCAAACAUUGAGCUCUAUCUACCCCAUAGUAAUAAAGGAUGGCUUUAAGGAACAGAAACCCA